rnacentral:lncRNA from 1 species
GAGUGUUUGUUGCUGUAAAAUUUAGACUUUAAUUAACUUAGUUUUUAUUUGGAAACAAACUUAUUCAAUAAAAAAAAGAUGAAAUAACAAUUCCAAGCUUAUAUCGGGUUAUACUAAUUUAUUCUAGAGACCUGAGAAUUAUUAUUUUCAGAUAUAAAAAAUUAUGCUCGGGAACAAACUGGGGAACAAGAGUUUAUUCUCUCUCUUGUUCCCGAACCAAAUGCUCCCCUAGAAUUUAAAAUUUUUUUAAAAAAAUUAGCAUUAAAAAAUAUCCAACGAAGCAUUAGACGGAGAUAAACUUAACACGUAACAGCAAAUCAAAAAUUUCUUAAUAAGACAUCUUUGGGGAGAUCCCCAACUAAAGUUUUAUUCUAUUGGUAUAUUCCAAAAAUAAUAUAUACAUCUUACACUAUUUUCAUUCUGAAUUAUCAUUCUUUACAUAACACACCAUUUUUUUUCUUUUUUUUUUACUAACAAUUGUUUGAAUUUUUAUAA